rnacentral:rRNA from 1 species
UGAACGCUGGCGGCAUGCUUUACACAUGCAAGUCGGACGGCAGCACAGAGAAGCUUGCUUCUCGGGUGGCGAGUGGCGAACGGGUGAGUAACAUAUCGGAACGUACCGAGUAGUGGGGGAUAACUGAUCGAAAGAUCAGCUAAUACCGCAUACGUCUUGAGAGAGAAAGCAGGGGACCUUUGGGCCUUGCGCUAUUCGAGCGGCCGAUAUCUGAUUAGCUAGUUGGUGGGGUAAAGGCCUACCAAGGCGACGAUCAGUAGCGGGUCUGAGAGGAUGAUCCGCCACACUGGGACUGAGACACGGCCCAGACUCCUACGGGAGGCAGCAGUGGGGAAUUUUGGACAAUGGGCGCAAGCCUGAUCCAGCCAUGCCGCGUGUCUGAAGAAGGCCUUCGGGUUGUAAAGGACUUUUGUCAGGGAAGAAAAGGCUGUUGCUAAUAUCAGCGGCUGAUGACGGUACCUGAAGAAUAAGCACCGGCUAACUACGUGCCAGCAGCCGCGGUAAUACGUAGGGUGCGAGCGUUAAUCGGAAUUACUGGGCGUAAAGCGGGCGCAGACGGUUACUUAAGCAGGAUGUGAAAUCCCCGGGCUCAACCCGGGAACUGCGUUCUGAACUGGGUGACUCGAGUGUGUCAGAGGGAGGUAGAAUUCCACGUGUAGCAGUGAAAUGCGUAGAGAUGUGGAGGAAUACCGAUGGCGAAGGCAGCCUCCUGGGAUAACACUGACGUUCAUGCCCGAAAGCGUGGGUAGCAAACAGGAUUAGAUACCCUGGUAGUCCACGCCCUAAACGAUGUCAAUUAGCUGUUGGGCAACUUGAUUGCUUAGUAGCGUAGCUAACGCGUGAAAUUGACCGCCUGGGGAGUACGGUCGCAAGAUUAAAACUCAAAGGAAUUGACGGGGACCCGCACAAGCGGUGGAUGAUGUGGAUUAAUUCGAUGCAACGCGAAGAACCUUACCUGGUCUUGACAUGUACGGAAUCCUCCAGAGACGGAGGAGUGCCUUCGGGAGCCGUAACACAGGUGCUGCAUGGCUGUCGUCAGCUCGUGUCGUGAGAUGUUGGGUUAAGUCCCGCAACGAGCGCAACCCUUGUCAUUAGUUGCCAUCAUUCAGUUGGGCACUCUAAUGAGACUGCCGGUGACAAGCCGGAGGAAGGUGGGGAUGACGUCAAGUCCUCAUGGCCCUUAUGACCAGGGCUUCACACGUCAUACAAUGGUCGGUACAGAGGGUAGCCAAGCCGCGAGGCGGAGCCAAUCUCACAAAACCGAUCGUAGUCCGGAUUGCACUCUGCAACUCGAGUGCAUGAAGUCGGAAUCGCUAGUAAUCGCAGGUCAGCAUACUGCGGUGAAUACGUUCCCGGGUCUUGUACACACCGCCCGUCACACCAUGGGAGUGGGGGAUACCAGAAGUAGGUAGGGUAACCGCAAGGAGCCCGCUUACCACGGUAUGCUUCAUGACUGGGGUGAAGUCGUAA